rnacentral:rRNA from 1 species
CGUACCUGAAGAAAAAGCAUCGGCUAACUCCGUGCCAGCAGCCGCGGUAAUACGGAGGAUGCGAGCGUUAUCCGGAUUUAUUGGGUUUAAAGGGUGCGUAGGCGGCAAGUCAAGUCAGCGGUAAAAGCCCGGGGCUCAACCCCGGCGAGCCGUUGAAACUGACGGGCUAGAGACGGCGAGAGGUACGCGGAAUGCGCAGUGUAGCGGUGAAAUGCAUAGAUAUUGCGCAGAACUCCGAUUGCGAAGGCAGCGUACUGGCGCCGGACUGACGCUGAGGCACGAAAGCGUGGGGAUCGAACAGGCUUAGAUACCCUGGUAGUCCACGCAGUAAACGAUGAAUGCCGGCUGUCCGGGGCGAAUGGGUCCUGGGCGGCGAAGCGAAAGCGAUAAGCAUUCCACCUGGGGA